UACGAAGGGGGCUAGCGUUGCUCGGAAUCACUGGGCGUAAAGCGCACGUAGGCGGCUCUUUAAGUCAGGGGUGAAAUCCUGGAGCUCAACCCCGGAACUGCCUUUGAUACUGGUAGUCUCGAGUCCGGAAGAGGUGAGUGGAAUUCCGAGUGUAGAGGUGAAAUUCGUAGAUAUUCGGAGGAACACCAGUGGCGAAGGCGGCUCACUGGUCCGGUACUGACGCUGAGGUGCGAAAGCGUGGGGAGCAAACAGG
rnacentral:rRNA from 1 species